UACGUAGGGUGCAAGCGUUGUCCGGAAUUAUUGGGCGUAAAGAGCUCGUAGGCGGUUUGUCGCGUCGAAUGUGAAAACCCGGGGCUCAACCCCGGGCCUGCAUUCGAUACGGGCAGACUAGAGUUCGGUAGGGGAGUCUGGAAUUCCUGGUGUAGCGGUGAAAUGCGCAGAUAUCAGGAGGAACACCAGAGGCGAAGGCGGCCUACUGGGCCAGUACUGACGCUGAGCCGCGAAAGCCAGGGGAGCGAACGGG
rnacentral:rRNA from 1 species